rnacentral:rRNA from 1 species
UACGUAGGGGGCUAGCGUUGUCCGGAAUCAUUGGGCGUAAAGCGCGUGUAGGCGGUCCGGUAAGUCCGCUGUGAAAGUCGGGGGCUCAACCCUCGGAUGCCGGUGGAUACUGUCGGGCUUGAGUACGGAAGAGGCGAGUGGAAUUCCUGGUGUAGCGGUGAAAUGCGUUGAUAUCAGGAGGAAUACCCGUGGCGAAGGCGGUCCACUGGGCAUCAACUGACGCUGAGGCGCGAAAGCGUGGGUAGCAAACAGG